UACAGAGGGGGCAAGCGUUGUUCGGAAUUACUGGGCGUAAAGGGCGCGUAGGCGGCCUUCUAAGUCGAACGUGAAAUCCCCGGGCUCAACCCGGGAACUGCGUCCGAUACUGGAAGGCUUGAAUCCGGGAGAGGGAUGCGGAAUUCCAGGUGUAGCGGUGAAAUGCGUAGAUAUCUGGAGGAACACCGGUGGCGAAGGCGGCGUUCUGGACUGCAACUGACACUGAGGCACGAAAGCGUGGGGAGCAAACAGG
rnacentral:rRNA from 1 species